UACAGAGGGUGCGAGCGUUGUCCGGAUUUAUUGGGCGUAAAGAGCGUGUAGGCGGCCAGGUAGGUCUGCUGUGAAAACUCGAGGCUUAACCUCGAGCUGUCGGCGGAAACCAUCUGGCUAGAGUCCGGAAGAGGAGAAUGGAAUUCCCGGUGUAGCGGUGAAAUGCGCAGAUAUCGGGAAGAACACCCGUGGCGAAGGCGGUUCUCUGGGACGGUACUGACGCUGAGACGCGAAAGCGUGGGGAGCGAACAGG
rnacentral:rRNA from 1 species